rnacentral:rRNA from 1 species
UGGGGAAUCUUGCACAAUGGGGGAAACCCUGAUGCAGCGACGCCGCGUGAGCGAUGAAGCCUUUCGGGGUGUAAAGCUCUUUCGACAGGAACGAUAAUGACGGUACCUGGAGAAGAAGCUGCGGCUAACUACGUGCCAGCAGCCGCGGUAAUACGUAGGCAGCAAGCGUUGUUCGGAGUUACUGGGCGUAAAGAGUGCGUAGGCGGUCCUAUAAGUUCCGUGUGAAAUCUCCCGGCUCAACUGGGAGGGUGCGCGGAAGACUGUAGGGCUUGAGUGUGGGAGAGGUAAGCGGAAUUCCUGGUGUAGCGGUGAAAUGCGUAGAUAUCAGGAGGAACACCUGUGGUGUAGACAGCUUACUGGACCAUAACUGACGCUGAGGCACGAAAGCGUGGGUAGCAAACAGGAUUAGAUACCCCCGUAGUCC